rnacentral:lncRNA from 1 species
AGGUGUGAGUGCUUUUCAAUUUUUUUUUUAUUUUUUACUCUGUAAUAUCUACGAUUCAAGAUAGUAAAAAUUUUCAUCUUUUUUUAUUCGUGAUUUUUUUCUUGAUUUAAAGAUUUUUUUAGUAAAUUCUGUGUGUUUGCAUUGAUUUUUGUCUCUUCGAUUUCUUAUUUAUUGAUGUCUUGUUACUGUUAGAAAUGUUUGGCCAGGAUACUACCACCACA